UUAUGAAAUUUAGGCAGUUCUUAAAAGAUGAAGUUUUCAACACACCCACAUCCAUUCACUAAAAUUAAGGGAUAUGAACUCUGCAAACAGACUUCCUUUAUGCAGUUUUGGCUUUCCUCCACAGUUAUGAAAGUCAAUCCAUGCCAGUAAUGUCUAAAUUCACGAUGGGGAUUUUUUAAAGUACUGCAGUGAAUAUAUUCUCCUAGUGAUGCGUCGUUGGCCCUGGAACAUGGCUGAGGCCAGGAUAAGCAUCUGGAUGCUGGUACCUGGUGGCACAGACUUGUCUGGAAGACACAUUAAUAAUCCCAGGUGUUCUUUCAUAAUACCCUGAUGAAGUUUGUGAGCAAGUGACCUCAAAAGACAUUUCAUUUCCUGUUUUUCUAUUAUUCAGUGUUGUAUAGUGGUUUUCCUUUGAAAUGAAAACCUUUGCAUCUCAGAGGGAAACUUAAGACACAGGAUGUAAGAAGGGAAGUGAAACAACAGGACAUUUUAAGACAUGAAGUUUAUAGGAAGAUAAAAAUCAAAACCAACAAGCAAAACAAAACAAGACAAACCCCCUAAGAGGAUGCUCUGAGGAAGAUGACUACUCCAUCCUGCAGGGAAUCUCAUUAAGAGGGGAAUUCAGAAAAGCUCUGGGAAGUACCUGAAAAUGACCAUAUUCACCAUGCCCUUCCCUCUUGGAGAGUAUAAAAACAGUAAAGAAUUCUGAGUAUCCUUCUUAGAUGAGUCUAGCUACGUGAAAGAAGCAGAAAUAAAACAAAGUCUCUGGGAGAAACAAAGACCAACUGAGCUGCCUAGAAAAGACUCACACCAACUGGGAAUGGACGCCCUCCAUGUGCAGCUGCCUGCAGGUUGUAUGGUGUGCUCCAGGCUUCCAGCUCUACGAACUGUCACCUGUGCCUGGGGUUGGCUUUGAUGAUGCAACGGUCUUUGGGUCAUUUCUGUUCCUGUAAGUAACCCCUCACCCAUAUUCCUAUAAGAAACCCCAAUAAAACUCAUUGGUUCACCAA